GGCUCGGCGUCCGCCUUCCCACAGCCUAGAGAUCUAGCGACUUUGAGACUGGGUCUUGUCUGGGUGCGUCCCUGACUUCCGGUUAGACCUGGGGUGUUGACGCAGGCCUGAGAGCCCAGCUCUCAGAAGGCUGAGGCAGGAGAAUGACGAGUUCGAGUUGAAGCCUGAGUUGGAGCACGAAAGAUCCAAACAGAUCCUGGCGUGGCUUGUCAGGGCGCCCAAGGCCGCGCAGCUCUUGUGCUCCGGGGCGCGCCCGUGUGGCAAACGUCCAUCCAGCACGUUUAGCGCAGGCUCAGCGAAAGGACUGAUGUGAGAGACUGGGCUCUCCAGGUUCAGCCCGCUGGCGAGAUCUGCGGGUGGGCCUGGCUGAUUCAAGAAGAAACGCCAAGUGACAGCCCGAUCCUGUCCUGUGCAUUUACGGAAGAGAUUUACAACCGGCUGCGCUCACCUCAGAAGUCAUUGUAGUGCAGCAGCCGUGACUGAAUUAGAAGGUCAUCUUGUGGGAUCCGUUUUUUAAAGUGCUUUCCCGGGAACAAUCUAAACUUCUUUAUCAGUUCCUGAUAAUAGUCAAGGAAUUGGGUUUAGUCAUGCUGAGAAAAGUUCGGCACGCUUACACAUCAGGCAGCGUUACUGGGUAGUUCUGAAGGCACACAAAGAAAAUGGGAAGGGGAAGGUGGCAGCAGGGAGCCCUACCACAAGACAUUUGGAGCCUCCACAGUUGAGUGAUUGCUUCAUAAGUCAUAUCCUUGGCAGAUGUCUUGUGCCAUAAGGUAGAUAGAUAUACGUAGCCAAUAUAACAAGUUAUAUUUUACUAUGCUGGUCAUCACACAAGGUUCACACUCUUAAUUUCUUACCUAGGGUCCUAAGAUUAUCGUUCCACGGCUGCUCAUUUAUGGCUCUCUUCUUUGUUUUCUGUUUGUUUUUGUUUUUGAGACAGGGUCUUCUUGUAGCCCAGGAUGACCUCUAACUCCUUACGCUGUAGAGAAGUCUCUCUGUGUACCUUUGACUGUCUUGGAACUCACUAUAUAUUUGAGGUUGGCCUCAAAUGCAAACAGAUCCACCUGCUUCUGUCUCUUGAAUGCUAGAUUAAAUGUGUGUACCACCAUGUCCAUCUCCUAAAAAAGUUUGGUUUUGGUCUGUUUAUUUGGCAUUCAAAAAACAAAACAAAGCAAAACAAAACAACGGGUUAAGGCAGGUUUUUUACACAGCCUAAGCAGACUUCAAAUUCGUGAUAUUUCUGCGAUGACCAGGAACACACAGAGAUAUGCUAGUCUUGGCCUCCCAAGUGCUGACAUUAAAAAAAAUUUUUUAAAAAAGAUUCCUUUGGAAAUGUGGAUAUGAUCCAGAUAUCAAAAGCUUUUGCUGCUCUUGCAGAGGACCUGAGUUCAGUUCUGAGCACCCAUGUCAGGCAGCUCACAACCACCUCUGACUUCAGCUCCAGAUUUGAUGCCCUCUUCAUGGGCACCUGUGUACAGCAUGUGGCAUACGUGAUCAAAGAGAACACAUACAUAUAUACAAAAAUAAGAAUUAAAAAACCCUUUGAAAGAUUCUUUAAUACUUACCAUGUCAUGUGCUGUGUAUUAAUUUGAAUAGCAUACAAAUGUUAGAAACUUGGUGACCAAAAGUUUUAAGGAAUUUGUCAGAACCAAAAUGCAGCAAACUAUCACAUCAUUUUGGUACCCACUUAUAUUGGCUUAGUCUUUUCCUUUGUUGAGCAGUCCCAAGCUGUGGAGAACCUAUAUAAGUGUACAGUAGACAGACAGGCUGGGGAAAGUCCUACUUUUUAGAUUGCUUGUAGCUUUCAUCUGCAUGUUUUAGAAAUGUAUCUUAACCACUUGAAAUAACUUAUUAAACCUCAGAAUCCUUGCUGUAUACUUCUAUUUUAGAGGGUUGAAUUUCUCAGCCUAGUGCCAAGAAUGUAAGUAUUUAAUUGAAUUUACUGCCUGUGGCAGUUUGGAUAUGCUUGGGCUAUGGGAAAUGGCACUAUGAGGAGGCCUUGUUGGAGGGAGUGUGUCACUCUUUAGGCAGGCUUUGAGGGCUCCCAGGCUUAAUUGAAUGCUGCUGAAACAGUCUCUUUCUUUCUGUCUUCAGAUCAAAAUGUAGACCUCUCAUCUCCUCCUAAACCAUGUCUAUCUGCAGGCUGCCAUGCUUCCUGCCAUGAUGAUAAUGAACUGAACCCCUGAAACUGUAAGCCAGCUCCAAUUAAAUGCUGUCCUUUAUAAGAGUUGCCUUGGUCAUGGUGUCUCUUCACCAUAGAAACCCUAACUAAGAUGCUGGCCGUGCUGGCGUUUUGUUUGUUUGUUUUUGAGACAGCGUCUCAUUAUGUAGCUUUGGCUGGCUUGGACAUAGGUAUGUGGAUCAGACUGACCUAGAACUCAUACAACCUACUGUCUUUGCCUCCUAAGUGUGUGUUUAAGGUAUGAGCCACUACACUGCAUUCCUAUUUUGGCAUAUUAAAUCUCCCCUGUAGGCUCAUGGGUUUGAACACUUUAUCUCUACAUGGUAACGCUGUUUCGGGUGGUUGUAAAACCUUAGGCUAUGAGACACAGCUGGAGGAGGUGGGAGGGUUGGGGAUGACUGCUUUGGGCCUAGGCUCUCUCUGCUCUGCUCAGUGGCAUGUACAAGCAUUUACUGCACACUCCCACUGCCACACAUCUAGUCUGUCAUCCUGCCUUUCCUGCCAUGAUGGACUUACAACUCCUGAACCAUCUCUCCUCCCUUAAGUUGCUUCUGUCAUGUAUUUCAUCACAGCAACAUAAACACAUGUAACGUAAGCGCAUGCUCUGCUCUGUGCCAGGGCGUUCUAUGUAUUGCUUUAUUUAUUUUUUAUCUUUUUUUUUUUUCCAGAGCUGAGGACCGAACCCAGGGCCUUGCGCUUGCUAGGCAAGUGCUCUACCUCUGAGCUAAAUCCCCAACCCCUUAUUUAUUUUUUUAAAUCAUAAUAAGUCUAUGGUGUUUAUUGUUAAAAACUGUGUACUUACUCAACAUGAUAUAGAGAUAUUCAUACACAAAUAGGUGUAUUUGUGUGUUUCUUUAACUUGGAUGAGUGUUUGCUUGCAUGUGUGCAUGCACAUUAUGUCUACUACCUGUGGAGUCAGGAGAAAACAGCAACCUCUGGGAACUGGACUUACAGAUGUGGGUGCUAGAAAACUGAACUGAAGUUCUUUGCAAGACAACAAGUGCUCUUUACUGCUGAUCCUUCACUCUAGACUCAGUAGAUUUUUUUAAAAUUUGGUAUAUAUAUAUUUUUUUUUUUCCCGGAGAGAUAGGGACAGAUAUACAGAUAGACAGAGACAGAGAUAGGAGUUGGGAGGAUGAAGAUGUAGGGAGGGUCUGGGAGGACUUGGGGGAGAGGAAACCAUGAUUAGAUUAUGUUGGAUGAAAAAAUUGUUUUAAUG
rnacentral:lncRNA from 1 species